UACGAAGGGGGCUAGCGUUGCUCGGAAUUACUGGGCGUAAAGGGCGCGUAGGCGGACAGUUUAGUCAGAGGUGAAAGCCCAGGGCUCAACCUUGGAAUUGCCUUUGAUACUGACUGUCUUGAGUUCGGGAGAGGUGAGUGGAAUGCCGAGUGUAGAGGUGAAAUUCGUAGAUAUUCGGCGGAACACCAGUGGCGAAGGCGACUCACUGGCCCGAUACUGACGCUGAGGCGCGAAAGCUAGGGGAGCAAACGGG
rnacentral:rRNA from 1 species